UCAAGAAACUUCCACAAUGGGCGAAAGCCUGAUGGAGCGACGUCGCGUGAUGGACGAAGUGCUUCGGCACGUAAACAUCUUUUUAUGUGGGAUGAAAUUAUUGACAGUACCACAUGAAUAAGGGGCUCCUAACUCUGUGCCAGCAGGAGCGGUAAUACAGAGGCCCCAAGCGUUAUCCGGAAUCACUGGGCGUAAAGGGUGUCGAGGCGGUUGUAUUAGUCGUUCGUAAAAUCUACGAGCUUAACUUGUAGGCGGCGAACGAAACGGUACGACUUGAGGUUUGGAGAGGUGCGUGGAACUCACGGUGUAGGGGUGAAAUCCGUUGAUAUCGUGGGGAACACCAAAGGCGAAGGCAGCGCACUGGCCAAAAUCUGACGCUCACACACGAAAGCUAGGGUAGCGAAGAGGAUUAGAUACCCUAGUAGUCCCUGAGCGGGCUGGCAAGGCGCAU
rnacentral:rRNA from 1 species